rnacentral:sRNA from 1 species
CUUGGCAUCGACGUAGCGGUGCGGGUCGUCGCCGAACUCGCCGAGGAUCCGGGCACCGAGAACUGGGCCGAGGCCGGGCAGG